CUAAAUAAAUGGUUUAACAUUAUUUACAUUUCAUACAACACUUCAAAAUAUAGUAAAAUUUUUUAAAAAAUAACGGUUUGAAUCGGGAACCGUCGGUUCUAGGGCGGUUCUUGGUGGUUCCACAGUUCGGUUCCGAUUUCGAACCGGGAACCGCCGGUUUCAUAAACUUGGAACCGUAACUGAACCAACCGAACUUGGUUUCGGUUCUGGUUCGAAACCGUCUAACACGGUCCGAUUUCACAGUUCGGUUCCCGGUUUCAGUUUUUUUGGCCACCUCUAAUAGAAUCUAAUGGCUUGAAAAUAUUGACCAUCCAAAUUUAAAAUUCAUUUAAAUAAAUUGCAAAUCAUUUAAUCCAAAUUUAAAAUUCAUUUAAAUAAAUUGCAAAUCAUUUUUUAUUAGCGUAAGGGUAUUAAUGUAAAAGUGUGAUAUGGUAGACCUAAACUAAUCCACGUUCACUCCCUUCACCCCAUUUGUCGUCUUUUAUCUCUCUCAUAUAAAAUCUCCUUCUCUUUCUUCUUCUGCGAAGUUGUUGUUCGAUGGAAGGUGAGGUCUUGACGGUUGAGUCGUAGAAGAGGACCACGGGAACGCGCUCGUGGUGGCGGACGAAGGGGCUGGUGGAGUGGAUAUCGCGGUCGCAGGCGGCGCAGAGGGAGGUGACGUCGGCCUUGCAAGUGAGCAUACCAGGGUCUGCUCGCACACCUCAUAUAUCCAGACGCGGCCAUGGCGCAACGCCAACUUGUUGGCUAUGUGAAUCUUGUCGUCUAAUUGAGUCUUCUUCAACUCUGGUGUUGAAAAUGAUAGAAGACGGCCACUGGCGCCGCCUUGCACGAGUCACAUAUCUUCGUGUUCAUUGAAUUGGAUUUUCGUAUAAAUUUCUGUUCAUUGGAGGAUUGAUUA